GUGCCCUUCUCCUCCUGCAGGAAUAAGUUUGUUGCUGACUUAGUGGGAAGUAGAUGCCUCAAUAUUUGGAUAGAUCUGACCUUUGGAUUUAGAAGCUUGAUGCCCAUAGUGGGACAAUCGCUUUAGCAAACCACAGUAGAAGGGACAUAGAGUCAUUAGCAAUGAAUGAGAGAGAUUUUAUUUGCGCAAGUUGAUAAAAUCAGGGCAAAAUCAGAGCUUUCUGUGUGAGUUUCUGUAAAUAAACUGCCUGUAUAGUGGAGUGAAUUUGGCACAUCUGGCCGUAGGAUUUAUGUGGCUUUUGUAGCCCUCAAUCCGGAGAUAGCAGAGGGGGCUGAAGCUCUUAUUGCAGAUACCUCCAUCAAUUCUUGAAUUAUCUUGGCAGAGGUCUUCGCUGUGAUUCAUUGCAGACAACGAGGAAGGACUCUGGCAGGUGAUGUAUUGCUCUAAAGCCCAGCUAGGCUUGUCACAACCCUUUCACUGCUCCUAAAGUAGGAUAGAAAGCUGUGUGUGUAUCUGGAGUCUUCCAGCAAGCAUUGCCUUCACAUGUAGCUUUGUGCUGCCAUGCCUGUUCUGCCAAGGUUGUCAGGCAUGUGUUGGCCCACACAUUUCCUUGUGUUGCAGCUGCAUCUGGAUAUCUGGGCAGACAGGUUAGGGGCUAGCCUACCAGCUAUUACCUGCCUGGACCAAGCUUUUGGUUGGUGUAAAUCCAAGAAAGCCAACUUGUCUCCACUGCACAUACGGCCCCAUUGCUGUCCCUCUCUUUUUGACUUCAAAUUUGGAGAAGGCUAUGGCAUCAAUUAGCCAAAGGGGAGGGCAGAUGAUUAAAGCAGACCCAGGAGACACGAGUUGUUUAGGCAUAGGCAAACAGCAAUUGGUGAGGAAUAUUGUCAUCCACAGAGAGUCUGGGGAUGGAUUGGCAGUGAAAGAGUGAGGGGGGAAAGAAAAAC